CUGACAGCCCCAGGGAUCAAGGUCCUUGACUUAUGUACAGAACAGGUGCAGCGUCAGCAGCAGCAAUGCAAGCUUCCCAUAGGUUACCCCACCGAUGGGCCUCAACCUGGACCUUCACCCUACUAAGACCAGCUCUAGCCAGCGAGCAGUUCGGUCUCUGAGCUUGACACUACCCAGAAGGA
rnacentral:sRNA from 1 species